UACGUGGGGUGCAAGCGUUAUUCGGAAUUACUGGGCGUAAAGCGUGCGCAGGCGGCUAUGCAAGACAGAUGUGAAAUCCCCGGGCUCAACCUGGGAACUGCAUUUGUGACUGCCUGGCUAGAGUACGGUAGAGGGGGAUGGAAUUCCGCGUGUAGCAGUGAAAUGCGUAGAUAUGCGGAGGAACACCGAUGGCGAAGGCAAUCCCCUGGACCUGUACUGACGCUCAUGCACGAAAGCGUGGGGAGCAAACAGG
rnacentral:rRNA from 1 species